GAUGAACGCCGGCGGUGUGCCUAAUACAUGCAAGUCGUACGCACUGGCCCAACUGAUUGAUGGUGCUUGCACCUGAUUGACGAUGGAUCACCAGUGAGUGGCGGACGGGUGAGUAACACGUAGGCAACCUGCCCCGGAGCGGGGGAUAACAUUUGGAAACAGAUGCUAAUACCGCAUAACAACAAAAGUCACAUGGCUUUUGUUUGAAAGAUGGCUUUGGCUAUCACUCUGGGAUGGACCUGCGGUGCAUUAGCUAGUUGGUAAGGUAACGGCUUACCAAGGCGAUGAUGCAUAGCCGAGUUGAGAGACUGAUCGGCCACAAUGGAACUGAGACACGGUCCAUACUCCUACGGGAGGCAGCAGUAGGGAAUCUUCCACAAUGGGCGCAAGCCUGAUGGAGCAACACCGCGUGAGUGAAGAAGGGUUUCGGCUCGUAAAGCUCUGUUGUUGGAGAAGAACGUGCGUGAGAGUAACUGUUCACGCAGUGACGGUAUCCAACCAGAAAGUCACGGCUAACUACGUGCCAGCAGCCGCGGUAAUACGUGGGUGGCAAGCGUUAUCCGGAUUUAUUGGGCGUAAAGCGAGCGCAGGCGGUUGCUUAGGUCUGAUGUGAAAGCCUUCGGCUUAACCGAAGAAGUGCAUCGG
rnacentral:rRNA from 1 species